UAUCCUGACUGCGUGAAAGUAGCAUAAUAAUUUGCCUUUUAAUUGGUGGCUGGUAUCAACGGUAUCAUGAGGGUGAAGCUGUCUCUUAUUUAUUCUAUUGAAUUUACCUACUAGGUGNAAAGGCCUAGAUAAUUUUAUAAGACAAGNAGACCCUGUCAAGCUUUACAAAACUAAAAUUUAUUCUAUGUCUUUGUUUGGUUGGGGCAACCGGGGGGCACAUAAAAUCCCUCCUUUUUUCCUGCCUUUUAGGGAUGAUCCGCAUUAGCGAUCUAAGGGAAAAGCUACUGCAGGGAUAACAGNGUAAUUUUUCUUUGUGAGUCCUUAUUUUAAGNAAGUUUG
rnacentral:rRNA from 1 species